UGAGAUCCGCAAGUACCAGAAGAGCACGGAGCUGCUCAUCCGGAAGCUCCCCUUCCAGCGCCUCGUCCGGGAGAUCGCGCAGGACUUCAAGACGGACCUGCGGUUCCAGUCGUCGGCGGUGGCGGCGCUGCAGGAGGCCGCCGAGGCGUACCUGGUGGGGCUCUUCGAGGACACCAACCUCUGCGCCAUUCACGCCAAGAGGGUCACCAUCAUGCCCAAGGACAUCCAGCUCGCGCGCCGCAUCAGGGGCGAGAGGGCCUGAGCGCUGCUCCUGCCUGUUCUUUCGUUUGGUUUCUUGGUAGGAUGGAAGAGGAUGACUUUGUUGCCCUGCUAUGUUGUACUGAUGUUCUAGGCAAAUUGUUCUGGCUGUGAUGGAAUGUGGUUCAGUGGCUUGGUGUUGCAAGAUUUGUUGCCUGUGCUAUGCCACUUCAUGUGUUGGUUCCUGCAUUUGGUUUAUACUUUCGUGGAGCAAGAUUUAAAUCCGAGAUUAUGGGAUACUGAGUAUGUUGUUGGAUGUUGACUGACAAAGUUCAUAUUUUGAGUACCAUAUCUUUGUUUCUGUCGCGGGAGAAAACUGGUUGGACCGGCCAUUCCACUUCAUCCAAGAGGUGAGUCGGGCUUGCUGUUUUCUUCUUUACUUUUGACGUUUCCUAGAUCUCUGAACUAAGUCUAUGAUCUGUUGACUCGAUAUGAGUAUAUGAUGUUACAUGGGCGGAGUAGUUAAGAUAGCUGUUGAUAAGGUGUCUGGUUGCGAAAUUCAGGAACCAUGCUCAAUCUUUUUGAAGUAUUUUAUCUAAACUAGUAGGUUCCACAAAUUGUACCGAGGCCUUGUUUAGUUUCCACCAAAAUCUAAAAAAUUUUCAAUAUUCUCCGUCACAUCGAAUAUUGCGUUACAUGCAUAAAGCACUAAAUAUAAAUGAAAACAAAAACUAAUUACACAGUUUGUCUGUAAAUCGCGAGACGAAUCUUUUGACCUCAGUUAGUGUAUGAUUGGAUAAUAUUUGCUGCGAACAAACGAAAGUGCUACAGUAACGAAAUCCAAAAAAUUUUCGUAUCUAAACAAGGCCCGAAUUUGUGCCAUAGCCCAUAGGCAGGCUGGCCUGUCCCACACGAGUUUUACCCUUGGUCCUCUCACGGCACCUCAUACGAAUCUUUUGAGCAUAGUUAAUAUAUGAUUGAAAAUAUUAGUUACAUACAAACAAAAGUGCUACAGUGCCCAUUUUCUAAAAUUUUUGAACAACUUUAAUUAAAUAUAUAUUAGAAAAAUAUUAAUAUUUAUGUUAUAUAAUUAGGCCUUGUUUAGUUGGCAAAUUUUUUGUUUUUAGCUACUGUAGCACUUUCGUUUUUAUUUGACAAAUAUUGUCCAAUCACAGAGUAACUAGGCUCAAAAGAUUCAUCUCACAAAUUACAGAUAAACUGUACAAUUAGUUUUUAUUUUCGUCUAUAUUUAAUGCUCCAUGCAUGUGACCAAAGAUUUGAUGUGACGGGGAAUCUUAAAUUUUUUUGCAAACUAAACAAGGCCUUAGUAUCAUUAGAAAGAUCUUUGAAUUUAGUUUUUUAAUAAAUUUAUUUAGAGAUAAAAAUAUUGCACGUAUUUUCUAUAAAUCGAGUUUAAACUUAUAGCAUGCACACCAACAAUGACAGCUAUUAAGGAACAAAGAGAAUAUGUCGAAUCUAAUUACUAGAAAAAAAAACCAAAUUGCCUUAAUGGGUCAAUAUGAACUUUUUUUAGAAAGGAGAUUAACUCAGCUUUUAAGAAAGCGAAUAACAGAGUCUUUACAUAUUAGGGAUACCAGUUUAAAAAUGUAGUGAAAAAAAAGCAAAAACAAAAACAAAAACAAAAACAAACUCAGCAACUCGGCGGAACUUCAAACCUGGGAAGCAAACUUGCACCAAACCAAGCAACCAACCCUAGGACAAGAUCCUACCCCAUCGAAACUGAAGACACAAGUCUAAGGGUGUGUUUGGUUGGGCUGUGACUUUUGGAAAAACUACUGUGAGCUUUGAGCUUUUGAAAAGCUGCUGUGGGAUGUGGGUUUUGAAAAAUCCAAAAGUCAUUUGGUUGGUCACUUGUAACUUUUGGAAAAAAAACUGAACAGAUCCCAAAAGUUAGUGAAAGCAGGGGGUGAGUUGCUUUUGGAUUUGUACUACGAGAAAAGCUGCUUUUGGGCAAAAGCACUUGUGGCUUUUGGACCCUUUGGUUGGCUUUUGGCUUUUACAAAAGCAAAAGCAGGUUCAAAAGCCUAACCAAAGGGACCCUAAAUGACUGCAACAUCUGAAAAGGGUCUAACAAAAUAUUCUUUCUGCAACAUCCAGUCAGAUAAGGAUUGAACCAUCUCCUUUAUCUUGGUUUUGUUGUUCUCCCUUUGCAGGUCCACCCAUGUAUGCAGAAAAUUGACAGCCGAGUGAAUCAUGCAUCAGGUGUACUAGGGAACUGUUUCUCGAUGGACAUCUUAUUCCUAGGCCCUGUUUAGUUACUCACCUAAAAAUUUUUCAUCCAUCCCAUCGAAUCUUUGGACACAUGCAUGGAACAUUAAAUGUAGAUAAAAAAUAAACUAAUUACACAGUUUGGUUGAAAAUCGCGAGACAAAUCUUUUAAGCCUAGUUACGCCAUGAUUAGUCUUAAGUGCUACAGUAACCCAUAUGUGCUAAUAAUAGAUUAAUUAUACUUAAUAGAUUUGUCUUGCAGUUUUCUAACGAGCUAUGUAAUUUCUUUUUUUAUUAGUUUGUAAAAACCCUUCCCGACAUCCUUCCGACACAUCCGAUGUGACACCCAAAAAAUUUUCAACCUCAAUCUAAACAGGGCCCUAGGCUUUGGAGAUGAAAUUUUUUUUAUGUCACAUCGGAUGUGUCGGAAGGAUGUCGGGAGAAGUUCUUAGAAACUAAUAAAAAAAACAAAUUACAUAACUCGUCAGGAAACUGCAAGACAAAUCUAUUAAGUAUAACUAAUCUGUCAUUAGCACAUGUGGGUUACUGUAGCACUUAAGGCUAAUCAUGGAGUAACUAGGCUUAAAAGAUUCGUCUCGCGAUUUUCAACUAAACUGUGUAAUUAAUUUAUUUUUAUGUACAUUUAAUGUUCCAUGCAUGUGUCUAAAGAUUCGAUGAGAUGGAUGAAAAAAUUUUGGGUGGGAAACUAAACAGGGCCCUAUUCUUCCAGAUCACCAAAGCCACUCCUGCAAAAAAACGUGAAACAUAUAGUUUCUUAGGCAUCCGAAGCCUCCUUGGCAUCCAUCAGGAUAUCACAUCAUGUAUAGAUGUUGGAAAUUCAUGUAGAUUAAAAGCAUCCAUUAUGCAACUCCAAAUGUAUUGUGCAAAGACACACCUAAAAAAAAGAUGAUUGACCGUUUCAAUUUCAGGACAUAUACAGCAGAGAGGGCUCUCCUGCCAUCCCCGUUUUGUUAGAGAAAGAGCAGUUUGUAAUUUCCUAUGUAAAACUUGCCAAAGGAAGACCUUAACUUUUAAGGGUAUCCUACAUUUCCAAAUCAUAUAAGUUAACAUGUUCUUGACUCUCCCAUGAGUAAGACAAGUAUAUAGCGAUUAAGUUGAGAAAUUCCUUGAUUUUUUCAGAACUCAAUUAACUUCAUCAUCUCCUAGUCCAUCCAUACUCACAUCCUGUGCAGAUCAUUCCAUUCAUCAAGUAUAGCCCCAUGCAGACUUCUAAGAGGGAUAUCCCAUCCACUCUCAUUCCACAUACCCUUCACUGUAGCUUCUAGAUUUUGACAGAUUUUAAAAAAUUGUCUAUACUGUAUUUUCAAGGGAAGACCUCCAAACCAAGUAUCAUGCCAAAAACUAAUAGCUUCCCCUUUGUGAACAUUAUAUUCAGCACCCCAUUUAUACAAAUGCUUCACCUUAUGUAGGCCUUUCCAAAAUUGGGAAGUGCCCUGGAGGUCAAUAUGAACUAUUUAUCAUUAAUCCUACAAAAUAAAGUUACCCACGUGUAUCCUUGUACUCAUCAAUCACUGAACCCAGCACUAGAGGCCUCAAUUUGUUCAGAAUGCUGACUCUGCUCUUGAGUAUGUCUCAUGGCCUGAAGCUUACACUCGCAGAAGUGGCCAUGGCAGUGAGCAGUCAGCCAAUCACCAUUACUAGAGUGUGUGCGUGGGAAUUGUAAUAAAGGCUAACUGUUCCGAACUUUUUUACUUUAUAUAAAUUCCUGCAGGGGCUCACGCCCCUCCAGUUCUGUCAAAAAAAAAAAAUGUAAUAAAGGCAUGCUGCCUAAACUUUUCUUUUGGUCCAUAAAUAGUUUGCUCAACGCAUGUAUUGGAAUAGCAAAUAAAAACUGCAUUUUCCCCAGUCCAUUCGAGUACUGUCCUGCCGAGACAUCAGGACUCGUGGACGCGCUGUGCGGAUACCGCCGAGUGCGUAGCUAUCCUUAUCCUCUCCCAACAACUCCUCCCUCCCUUCACCGCCGCCGGUCCCCUGUCCUCCUCGGCGUCCUCGCCGGCGGCAGGACAGGAGGGCCGGCCCCCUGCAUCUCCUGCUCCCCUCUUCCUCUUCCUUGUAAGAUCCUCUAGCCAAAUAAAGCUUUGGAGAAAGAUGGAGAAGAAGAACUCAUCCGAGGUGUCACAGCAGAUCCAGGCGGCGCUGCUCCUCUGUAUCGGCGUAUCUGCCAUCUCCAGCGGCUCCGGGCAGCAUCAGCAGCAGCAACACGGAGGCACGGAGCAGCAGCUGCAGGUGGUGGCGCAGCCCGGGGAGCUGAGGAAGCAGACGCUCGCGCCCAAGCGGAGCUCCAACAAGGACCGCCACACCAAGGACGACGGCAGGGGUCGCCGGAUCCUGAUGCCCGCGCUGUGUGCUGCGCGGAUCUUCCAUCUCGCGCGGGGGCUCGGCCAGUCCGACGGCGAGACCGUGCAGUGGCUGCUGCAGAAGGCCGAGCCGGCCAUCGACGCCGCCACCGACACUGACACCAUCCCGUUCACGCCUUCGCCGUCCACUACAUCCUCUCCGCCCCCCACAUCGCCGCCUCCGUCGUCGACCCCGGCUCCAGCGACCUCCACUGCAUCCCUGUCCGUGUCGUUGUCCUUCUCCCCGGCGAAGUCCUCUGAGCAUCUCCAUCUUUUCUCCUUUUUAGUUUUUGUUUUUAUUUUUCUUUAUUUUCUUCUUUCGUACCUCACUUGCAUGGCUAUAGAUCUUCAUUCGGAUAGAGACUCUCGGCUCUCUCAUCCCUUUCUGAUUAGUGUAUGCAUAGUGUCUGUGGUCCUUGUUACCUUUGUUCCAAUCAGACAGCUACUUCUUCGGCGUUGGAUCGACGAUGCUGCCUUCGUCUAGGAUAUCGGUUCAAGCUUCUUCUUCCUCCGACAACGUCAACAACUUCAUCUUUCGGUUGCCGGAAUAUGUCUUCUUAGAUGGCUUAUCCGAUUCCCCUUCAACCGUCGCUUUGUGCGGUCAAUCCAUCCAGGUGCACGCGUCCUGGACGCCUCUGCGUAUUUCCCCCGCUGGCAUGCAAGUCGAUCUCGUCGCCUUAGUCGACGCUGCUGUCUUUAUUUCUGGUCUCUAGACCUCGUUGUAUCAAGGUUUCCCUUUGGGAACCUUCUUGUACUUCGUUUGGUUUAAUAUAUAUGUUAUGUUUUCGUCAAAAAAAAAGAGUACUGUCCUGCCUAUCUUUCCUAUUGAUUUUUCUUCUGAACAUUUGUUGCCCCGGUAUGCAUUUGUGUGCUGCAGUCUGGGUGUUCUGAUCCUGGGCUAAUUCCAACAUUCAUUACCCAGCCUCGUCCUCUUCCCUGACAAGGGGCCUAGAUCCCAGUCGAUCUGUCGCCCAUGCAACAUGCAAGGCUUCAGAAUCUGUUUGUUCCAUUCUUAAAACUUUUGUUCGAUUGUGCUUAGUGUGAGAGGCGGUCGAUGAGUAGCCACUCGGUCGUGUCACUUAGUGUGUGUGACUGGGAGAGGAGCUGCUUGGCGGCUGGAACUCGUCAAGUCAAGCUAAGUAGGCGACGACGGGGCUGGGGCUAGGCAGGGGCGUGAGGGAGACAGCAACCAUGAUAUAUAUCCUUUCAGAAUACUGCAAUCAUGUUUGUCAAACACAUCCUAAUCAUAUGUGCACCAAAUUUUUCCUAUAGGCAUUAGUAUUCUUAUGUGAGGGUAAGUUUAAUAUUUGCUUGCUGCCGGCGAGGACAUUCUUGACCGAAAAAAGAAUACCCCGAACAAUCUUUUAGAUCCAUGGUUUGAAAUGGGUGUAGUAGUUUUGUUCUCUUCUGACUGCCGGCCAAGCGAGUCCAUUCUGUUUUCCCAGUCAGUACUUGGACUCUCAGACUAUGAUUUAUUUCCUCUUACCAUCAAUUUCCACAUCUGUGCUACCACUAUAAGCGUGAUGACGAUUCCAUGUUCCGAAGAGUCAUAAAACAGCUGGCCGUCGUUGACCCCACAAGGUAAUGCAUGCUAUUUAUUGUCUAAUAAUCAUGCUAUCAAUUUACAAGAGGAAACCAAAAGAAAAAAGACAGACACAUUUUGUCAGAUACCGAACCAAAGGGCAAAAGGAUAGAUCUGACUGAUGACUAGCAUUGAUAAGAAAUGUUGCGCCAAAAGUUAUAAGAAGUUCCCGUUUGGUAGUGCUUCUUUGCAAACAGUGAGAAUCAAAAUCAACCAACCAUAUAUUGAUAUAUUCCAUCCUUCUAUAAUAUUUUACAUUCUAGCUAAUCCCACAUACUAAAAAGGAUCAAGGAGCAUUAAAAAGAGGAAAACUAUUCCUUCAUUGAGCUAUACAGUAACAGACAUAGGUAAUUUAGAUUUAGGGGUCACUUUAGACUAUGUUAAUAGAUAGCUACAAAAUGCUUCUAAAAACAGACAUAUUAUAUGGACAUUAUUGUCAAUGACGAUUAGGUCUACUGAAUGGAUGGCUGGGCAUUUUUUGUGAGAAUUUUCUUGGCACUUCUAAACUUCUUACAUGAUACAAUAAUUUGCCACUGAUUAUGUUGUAAUCAUGCAUGGAUCUUGAUGGUGGAACACGUCUCCAGGAUCAGAAGUGGUUUAUAAAAAGUUAUCCACCUUUAUUUGUCAUUAUGAAAAAACACAUAAAGUAAUCCUUUGCAUCUAAACUACCCACAUUUUUCAUUAUGAAAGGUAAAUUAAAAUAACACCCUAAAUUCAUAUGUAAAUUACUCAGCUUGCUAUUAUGAAAGAUAAUUUAAAAUAUCCCUCUCAAAUUUGUGUGUAGAUUACACACAUUUGCUAUUUAUGAGAUAAUUUAAAAGAAUCCCAGAAUUUAUACCUAAUUUACCCACCUCUAAAUUUGCAUUUAAAUUACCCAUCUCUGUUAUUAUAAAAAUAAUGCAAAGUAACCCCUAAAUUUAUAUGUAAGUUCAAACACAAUCAUUAAUGUGUCGUCCAAAUUGGAUUAAAAAAUCGACAAUUUUGUGAAGUAGUUUUCACUUCGUAUGUGAAUUGUGAAACCAUUAGUAGGAUGUGUACGUAUUGCCUGAUUGGUUAAGUUACAUUUGCUUCACCAAAGCAUGCAAACAUCGGUUGGGCAUAUAAAAUUGAGUAAUCUUAUAAUUACUUUCCUUGUCUUCUGAAGUCAAGCUGUCAAGCAACCGGGACUCCGGGAGCAGCAAGUAGCUGCAAUUUUGGUAAAAAAUGUGGACCUUUUAAGUUUUGUUUACCUCCGUGCAAGGGUAAAGAAAGAAUGGGAGGUGGACGGGGGCGCUUGGCGUGGGCUCCCUCAAUUUCUAUAAGAAAAACGACAUGGCCUCUUGCAUUCUGCAACUGCAAUGCGAUUCAACGUCCUAGCUAGCUUACACCAUCGCCACGGCGCUACCUUGCAAGCAAAUCAACUUCUCCCAUCGAUCUCCCAUCUUCCAAUCCACAUACUUCUCUCGCCAUGCAACUCCUCGUCGUUCUUUGUGAGUUCCUUUUGUCGCUGCACGCUCCUUCAUGCUCUGCGGCGACAGAUACACUCUCGCGCGGUGGCUCGCUGGCCGGAGACGAGAGGCUUGUCUCCAGCAACGGCAAGUUCGCGCUCGGCUUCUUCCAGACCAAUAACAGCAACAGUUCCACCAACACCACCUCCAACUCAUACCUUGGAAUAUGGUUCCACAAGGUCCCCAAGCUGACACCGGUGUGGAGCGCCAACGGGGAACCCGGUCUCCAAUCUUUCUUCACCGGAGCUCAUGAUCUCCGACGACGGCAACCUGGUCAUCAUAGCCCACGGCACCACCAUGGUCUGGUCUACCCAGGCCAACAUCACGGCGAACAGCACCGUCGCUGUUCUGCUGGCCGACGGGCGACGGGAACCUCGUCCUGCGGAGCUCCUCCAACUCCUCGGACGUGUUUUGGCAGAGCUUUGACUACCCAACUGACACCCUGCUACCCGGUGCAAAAUUGGGCAGAAACAAGGUCACCGGUCUGAACCGCCGUUUUGUUUCAAGAAGGAAUCUGAAUGACCAAGCUCCUGGUGUCUAUUCCAUUGGCCUAGCUCCUGGCCUUGAUGAGAGCAUGAGGCUGUCAUGGAAAUCAUCUACGGAGUAUUGGUCUUCUGGCGAGUGGAAUGGCAAUGGCGGAUACUUCAACGCAAUACCGGAGAUGUCGGAUCCCGCUUACUGCAAUUAUAUGUUUGUUAACAGUGACCAAGAGUUCUACUUCUCCUACACCUUGGUGAAUGAGAGCACAAUAUUUCAGGUUGUGUUAGAUGUCUCUGGUCAAUGGAAGGUGCGCGUAUGGGGCUGGGAUAGAAAUGAUUGGAUCACAUUCAGCUACUCUCCAAGAAGUCGAUGUGAUGUCUAUGCUGUCUGUGGAGCUUUCACGGUCUGCUCUAACAGCGCAAAUCCGUUGUGCUCCUGCAUGAAGGGCUUCUCUGUAAGAUCGCCUGAGGAUUGGGAACUGGAGGACAGGACUGGUGGGUGCAUCAGGAAUACUCCAUUGGAUUGCAACGACAGCAACAAACAUACAAGCAUGUCAAAAAAAUUCUAUCCUAUGCCAUUCAGUAGGCUGCCCAGUAACGGCAUAGGUAUACAGAAUGCCACAAGUGCAAAAUCAUGUGAGGGAUUUUGUUUGAGUAAUUGCUCUUGCACAGCGUAUUCCUACGGCCAAGGCGGUUGCUCCGUUUGGCACGACGAUCUAACCAAUGUAGCUGCUGAUGACAGUGGAGAAAUUCUCUACCUUCGUCUUGCUGCAAAAGAGGUGCAAAGUGGGAAAAACCAUAAACAUGGAAUGAUCAUCAGUGUUAGCGUUGCUGCGGGUGUAAGUACUCUCACCUUAGCGUUCAUCUUUCUAAUUGUGAUCUGGAGAAGCAGUAAGAGGUCUAGUCAUCGAGUGGACAAUGAUCAGGGUGGCAUUGGGAUCAUUGCAUUCAGGUAUAUUGAUAUAAAACGUGCAACUAACAAUUUCUGGGAGAAGUUAGGCACAGGUGGUUUCGGUUCUGUAUUUAAGGGGUGCCUGAGUGGCUCGGUUGCCAUAGCCGUGAAAAGGCUAGAUGGUGCCCACCAGGGAGAGAAGCAGUUCAGGUCUGAAGUGAGCUCAAUAGGCAUCAUCCAGCAUGUCAAUUUGGUUAAACUUGUCGGGUUUUGUUGUGAAGGUGAUAGGAGGCUACUAGUGUAUGAGCACAUGCCAAACCGUUCCCUUGACGUCCAUCUGUUCGAGAGCCAUGGUACCGUUUUGGGUUGGAACAUUAGAUAUCAGAUAGCUCUUGGUGUUGCUAGAGGGCUAGCGUACUUGCAUCAUAGCUGUCGUGACUGCAUAAUACAUUGUGAUAUCAAACCACAAAACAUACUUCUUGAUGCAUCUUUCAUUCCAAAAAUAGCAGAUUUUGGGAUGGCAAAGUUUCUAGGGAGGGAUUUUAGCUGCGUUCUAACUACAAUGAGAGGAACUAUUGGAUACCUUGCUCCUGAAUGGAUUAGCGGAACAGCUAUUACAUCGAAAGUCGAUGUUUACAGCUAUGGGAUGGUUUUGUUGGAGAUUAUAUCAGGAAGGAGGAACGCAGGUAAAGAAGCUUUUGCUGAUGAUGACCAUGCUAAGUGUUUUCCUGUGCAAGUCGUGGACAAGCUUCUCAACGGAGGCAUUGGAAGCCUUGUGGAUGCAAACUUGGAUGGCAAUGUCAACCUAUAUGAUGUUGAAAGAGUCUGCAAAGUUGCAUGUUGGUGCAUUCAGGAUAAUGAAUUUGAUCGCCCUACAAUGGUUGAGGUAGUACAGUUUCUUGAGGGCUUAUCUGAGCCUGAUAUGCCUCCAAUGCCAAGAUUGCUUCAUGCAUUCAGGAUAAUGAAUUUGAUCGCCCUACAAUCUGUUGUUAUAGUAUUAGGCUCUAAGGGGCAGUUUAGAUCAAAAGAUUUUUAUAGAAAAAUUAAAAGAAACAAAAACGCAGGAACACGAGUGGAGCAUAGCGUUUGAAACAAUGGAAAACAAUCUUUCCUUUCCUCUGGAACACUGCACCUCCUUCAAGAUUUCGCAAGAAAGCAAAAAUCUACUUUAACCUCUAGUUUCUAAUUCCUACGCAGAAACCCAGGUGAUUGCACCAUUAAACUCAUUGGAUGGGGUGCAUUACCAUGAAUAAAACACUAUUUAAGAAAACUUAACCGAGAUGCACAAAAAUGAUUAACCGAGGUGGGCAUCCUAUUCGCCUCCGCGCAAAGAUCAUGGUUAAUUUGGUCUUAACGGAGGCAGUUGGUCGCCCGCCAGUUAAUUAAUAAAAAAUAAGAAGAAAACAUGUGGACAGACCCAACGAGCCCAGCCCAUCCACAUGCCGCCGCUUUGCUCGUCGGAUCUGUGCCUCGGAUCUAGCUCCUCACUGGAUUCACUACUACAAAAAAGAUUUACCGUGACCUUUUGAAAACACCCCCCGAGGCGGGCAAAAAUUUCAACCGAGGCGGUUACAUAAACCGCCUCGCAAAAUUGAUUAACCGAGGCGGGCACCCUUAAAAUACCCGUCACGGUUAAUAUAUAUUAACCGAGGCGGACAUCUUAACGUAACCGCCUCGGUAAAUCAUUAACCGAGGCAGGCAUUAUAACUUCACCCGCCUCAGUAAAUCAGGCCCAACCCGCUAGCCCAAGAGGCCCAAUUUCAAGGUCACACAUAUAUACUAGACCUAGGGUUUCACCUUCACUUCCUCCCUCCUCAGCCGCACCCGCACUAUCUCUCCCUGCCGCUCGCGACGCUAGACCCGACCGCCCUCCUCCCCUUCCCCUUCCUCUCCUCGCAAAACCCGACCGCCCUCUUCCCCUCCCCUUCCCUUCGAUUCCCCUCCUCCCCUUCGUCUCCGGUGGCAGAGGCCCUCCCCAACUUCAAAGCGGGGCGGCAUAGCAAGGCACCCUCCUCCUCUCUCUUCGGCGGCCAGGCAUGGGGGGCAGCCGGAUUCGUGGCGGCGCGCCCUCCUCCUCCCUCUCCAGUGGCCAGGCGCGCGGGGGCGGCCGGAUCCACGCCGACGCGCCCCCCUCCUCCCUCUCAAGUGGCCAAGCGCGCGGGGGCGGCUGGAUCCACGACGACGCAUGCCCCUCCUCCCUCUCUGGUGGCCAGGUGCAUGGGGAGGCCGGAUCCGCGACGGCAUGCCCCCUCCUCCCUCUCCGGUGCCCAGGCACGUGGGGCCGCCUGGAUCCAUGACAGCGUGCCCCCUCCUUCCUCUCCGGUGGCCUGGUGCAUAGGGGUCGCCGGAUCCACGGUGGUGCCGCCCCCUCCUCCCUCUCCGGUGGCUAGGCGCACGGGGGCAGUCGGAUCCGCGGUGGAGCGGUCCCCUCCUCCCUCACCAGUGGCCAGGUGUGCGGGGCCUGCUGGAUCUGUGGCGUUCAGGUCCCCUUCUCCCUCUCCUCCGACCUGGCGCGCGAGGGUUGGCCGGAUCUGUCGUGGCGGCGCGUGGGCACUGGGUCUAGGAUUGGGCUCACCGGUGGGCUCGCCAGUGGGCUUUGUUUUUUUAUUUUUUUUGUAACAAUUAUCCGAGGCGGGCGUCCUAACGUGCCCGCCUCGGUUAAUCAAUUUACCGUGGCGGGUACAGGCGACCGCCGCGGUGAGUCUACUAUUAACCGUGACCUUAGAUGCGUGGCGGGUGCCUUUGCCCGCCACGGAAAAUGAAAAACGUCCGCCGUGGUUAAUAAAUUUUGUAGUAGUGAUUCGGGCACCUCCUCGCCGAUCCACCCACCCUAACACCAGAUCCGGCCGCGCCACCACCAUUGGGAGCUAUUCGAGCGCCACCGGUCGUGCGAGCUGCAUGACCACCACCGGCCACACGAGCAGCUUGAGGAGAGGCCAUGUUGAUGAGGGAGGGAGGAAGGGGGGGGGCACGCACCGCCCAGGCGCCGCUGCUGUGGGGAGAGAGAGGGGCAGGCAUCGCCGCUGCGGGGAGAAGGCCGGCGUGUGUGGAGAGAGAGAGAGAGAGAGAGAGAGAGAGAGAGAGGCGAGCACCGCCGUUGUGGGGAAAGGGAGUGGGGGACGUUGUUGUUGUGGGGAAAGGGAGGGGGUGAACCUCAUUGUUUUUGGGGAGGGGGGUGGGAGAGGAUUCAGUGUGUUAGAGAGAGAGAGGAGGUGUCAACGAAAUAUCAUCGGUAGUUCACCAAGGGGUAUACACAUGAUGGUAGAUUGUGUGGUGGAGGUGCGCAUGAUCAAAAUUAGAUGGUAGCACAAGCACAAGAACAUAAGAUUUAGACAGAUUCAGGCUGUCAACUUGACAUAAUACCUUAGUCUUGUGCGUUGGUGGAUUGUGUUAUAUGAGAUAUCUCUAGGAUUAAACCUAAGAUUUGUAUCUGGAUGUUGACUAGAGGAUCCCUACCCCUCCUUAUAUACUCUGGAGGGGUAGGCUUAUAAGGAAAGUUUUCUAAUCGGCUAUAUGGAAGGUGUUCUAUUUGGAUUGCAACAUCUAUAAGAGUCCUAGUAAAUCAUAUCUUCUACGAUCUUGUGGGUUGGACUGUCCGUGAUCGUGCAACCCAUGUCAGAAACAGUUUGAGUUCAGUUUAGUAGUGUUUUUGGAUGCCACAUGCAGACAGAGAUUUAAGCUUCAGUUUAAUAGUAAUUCUUAUGGUAUUAGCUCUGUUAGGAUCGGCAGCUGUUAUAGUAUUAUUUGUGCGCCAAAAAAACUUACUCAUCAAUUAACUCUUGAACUACAGGAAACAAAAACAACCUUUUAAAAAAUCAAUGUCAGUUUGAUGAGAUGCAUGAAUCCAGCUGAGUCUUGCAGAUGCCUAAACAUAGCAUUAAUUCAUCAUUUUUCUUUCUAUAAUGCAUAAUUGUUCAAUUCUUAUUUAGUUUAAAACGUUCGAGAACAAUGCACUAUUAACUCCAUGUAAAAUAUCAUGAGCCCUAGACGUGUGUUGGCCACUUCCAGCCUCCGGCGCCGGCUGCAGCUGUCGCCCAGAGGGCCAUGGCCAUCGCUGGUCACGUCUAGCCGGUCGUGGCCGGCUGCUGGCCACCUUGCGCUGGCGCUCCCUGGCUGCUGCCGGCCAUGGCUGCCUGGCCUUGGUUUUAGGGCUUUGGCUAUGUCUAUUCUUUUUUGUCAUGUACAGAAUUGACCAGCACCACCCAAGUUUAGAUUGAGAUGCGAAGUACCAGGGAGACGACAACGUUGCUUGUGGGCGUUAGGGUGAGUCACGCCUCAUCCUCGAAUCUGCGGGACCGGUUCAUUGGCAGCCGGGGAUGGAAUGACAUAGUGUCGAUAUAGUCAGAGUGCGUGGAUUAGAUGAUGUGUUUGGGGUGGAUGAAGUUGAUGGGAGGCGGCGGAACACAUCUUAUGGGCAACUUUUGAUAUGGCAAGGGUGUUGUGUGAUUGGCCUGAUUUUUAGGGAUGGAUAGGCAUCGUGAUUUCAGGGUUGCAUUUCAGAAACUCGCAUGGGCGCGGGUGAGGGAGAGUGGGAAGCCUCAUCAAACUUUUAAUCUCAGCCGUUGCAUCCGUAGUAGGUAGGUUGUGAGUUGAUCUUGAAAGAAGGAAUUGGCUUGGAAAAGUUUUCAAUUAUAAUAGAGAUAAAAAAAUCUAAAUUUUUUUCAAGAUUAUCCAUCAUAUUAAUUUUACCGCACAUGCAUAGAGCAUUAAAUAUAAAUAAAAAAUAACUAAUUACACAGUUUAUCUAUAAAUCACGAGACGAUUUUUUUAAACUUAGUUAGUCCAUGUAGAUAAUGUUUGUCAAAUAUAAAUAAAAGUGCUAAUCAAAAUUGAAAAAUAUUUUGUAUCUAAACAAGGCUUAGAGCAACUCCAACAGCUUUUCUAUUCCUAUUAUGGAGGCCUUUUAGAAUUUUUAUAGUAGAAAAAUAGACUCCAAUAGAUGUACUAUUUGGUUUUGUAAAAUAGAAAGUUUGCUAUCCUUUUAAUUUUCGUUGGCCAUAUAUAGCCAACCACUGACACUAACUAUCUGAUAGCAAGGCUGUUGUGAACAUCUUCUUUUUUUAAGAAAUUAUCUAUUUUACAAAAUAGCUAAACAUUAGAAUUUAGCUACUAAUUUUAGCCAAGCUCUUGCAGAUGCUCUUACCGUGUGUUUGGUUGGGGGUUGGGUGGGUUGGGUUGGAUCCAACCCAGUUUUUGGGGACGGAGCCAACCCGUCCAGUGUUUGGUUGCACUUCUGAUUUUGGGGACGGAGCCAACCCAUUUUAGUGUUUGGUUGAAGAAUUGGGGACAGAGCGGCUCCGUUCAGUGUUUGGUUGAAGAAAUUUAGUGUUUGGUGGGAGCCAACCCGGCUGGAGCGGCUCCGUCCGCCAGAUUUUGACGGAUGAGUCCAACCCGCAUCUGAGAGAAAUAUUCCACCCUGGAGCCAACCCAACCCUCCUAUCCUCCAACCAAACAGGCACAGAAAUGCUCCAACCAAACAGCCACAGAAAUGGGUUCGCUCCGACCCGACUCGCCCCGCUCUCCAACUAAACACACGGUUACAAUGUCACUCCAAUUGGGACGGACUGUACCCCGUACCCCUUGGGCCCCCUCUUGCGCUUCUCGUCCCACCCGAGCGCGGCGGCGCUCCUUCUGCCUCCCCCAGCGCCGGCUCUACUCCACGCCGGCGUGCCCCCCCUCCUCCAGACCUCCCCACCGGCGCCACCCUACCCUGUCACUCCCUCCUCCGCUGAGUGCAGCAAGUGCUGAUCAGGUGCAUGAAACCCUGUUUCAGUUUGAUGUAUUCGACAGAAUUUUUGCUUGCUAUUUGCGUUGAUUUGCUCCGAUUUGUUCAUUCUGUGAUUGGCUCGGUUAGCUCACUCUCCUUCGAAUCCAGAGCCACUUCUUCACAGUGGGUGGGCGGGAGAUGGUGCUGAAGCGGGCGGCGGCCGAAUGCCCCAAGAAGGUUGCGGGGCUGAUGGAUCUGGUGAACCUGCCCACCCAGUUGCGAGAGUUCGCCGGGGGCCGGUCCCAAAUGUCCCAUAUCUCCUUCUUCCUCCGGGUCUGGUCGUACAUCAAGGACAACAAACUUCAGGUAAUUCUUCUUCCCAUGUAUGGGCCCCUUCGUUUCUUUAUGAAGAAAUCUGUAAUUAGUCGCUAUGAUUGGUGUUAGUUGGGCUCAUUAAUUGUUGCGGCAGGAUUUGGUUGCUUGCUCGUCAGAGUUAAUUUGCGCUGACCUGGGAUAGAACUUGAAUUUGGGGAAAAACAUGAAGUUUUGGCUGAUGGGAAAACAGCAGAUUGGCAGCUCAUGCUGCCAACAUAUUAUGAGAUGAGAGUUCGGUAUAUUAUUAUUGUUAGUAGUAUUAUAUGAAGGAUUAUGUCAUUUCCAAAAUCUAGGUGUUUAAGUUUACAGGUGUGGGAAUUGAUCUGUGCGAUGUCAAAUGACGUUUUGAUAAUUCAGGACUUUUGUCCACUUUGCCACUAUAUGCACAAAAAUGCUUAAUAAUGGUCUUCUGUGUAUUGAUAGCUUAUACUUGGUUAGGAUGAGAACCGUUGACGUUUAGGAUCUUGAUAGCUUAGCAUUGAAGAUUUCAUUCCCUUCAUGCUGCUUGGUAUUCCCAUCUGUUUCCAGAUCGUCCACGUGAACUGACAAUUUAGGUGGCACCGUUAUGUUCAGCGCUUUAAUUUAAUUUGGAGCUGAUAAAGUAGUUAUGUUUCCAUGUUGAACCCCGUUUAUACCUGGUUAUACCCACAAAUAUGCCAAAAAUGGGCAUUUGUAGCACUUCAACAUGUGAUUCGGACAUUCGUAUAUCACUUCCAUGUUUCUAUCUAAUGCCCCUUAGUGGAAACCUUCAAGCAUACUGUAAAAUGUAUUGGUUCAUAGAAAUCCCUCAUAAGAGGCUCCGAACAGUGGUUUAUGUAGCUAAAUAAUUCCAUGCUUAACAUCAAUUGUUCUGCCAUACUCAUGUAUAGUCAGCCCUGGCAUUGCUAAUGUUAGGGGACAGAUCCUCGAACAAGAGGGACCCUUGGAACAUUAGCGGGUUCCACAAGUACUUAUGUUAUUUCUCAAUGACCUGCUUUACAAACCUAUGGGUAGGGGUUGUUUGUAGUUGAUGUGACCUCUCCAUUGUCUACUACUCCUGUCAUGUGGGGCCAGCCGUACGUCAGGCGCCGGCGCAACCGCGACAUCCGCCGAGCUGAGGAACGCGCCGCGCGCGCACAAGAGGAAGAGGUCCAAGCGGGAUUCGAAAUUAGUGGCUAGGAAAUAUUAGUGUUAGCUAUUUUUGGUUAGUCCUAAACUCAAGGAGAGAUUGUUAGUUUCCCUUUCAUGCAAGCCGCAGCUGAGGAACGCGCCGCGCGCGCAAGAGGAAGAGGUCCAAGCGGGAUUCGAAAUCAGUGGCUAGGAAAUAUUAGUGUUAGCUAUUUUUAGUUAGUCCUAAACUUAGUUUCCCUUUCAUGCAAUCCGGAUGGCUAUUUGUAUCCCCAAACAUUCCCGUGAGUGAAUCAAGCAAGAUCAAUCAACCAAACUCUCUCUUCCUCCCUCGAACAUUCUCAAGCCCAGAAGCCGAGAGGGGCAUAACCUCCGCUCUGGAAGACACGGCACGAGACUACGAGCUACGUAGUCGAGGGCCGGCUACCCUAGAUCACCAGGCCCUUGACAACCUGGUAUCCCGAUCCACUCGAUCCUCGGCAUCCUCAGCCGCCGCGCCAUCAUCUCCGACACCAGCAGCUACACCAAACCCAUCGCCCACCCGUUCCACAGCCUCCACCGCAAAUCCCAGUCCACCGCCAUCUCCCACUGCCCCCGCAACCAUCCCAGCCGCCAUGGCUGAACCCACCCUCGCUGAGGUCAUGGACAUGCUCAAGUCCAUGCGCAUGGAGAUGUCCACCCUCAAGUCCGACGUGGCGACCAUGAAGGACAAGUCCUCAUCGUCUUCCGGCGGCGGCGACGAUCGUCGUUCCGAAGGCCCGCGAGAUCAGGACUUCCACCCCAAGCACAAGAAGUGGGAUUUUCCCCGCUAUGACGGCACGACCGAUCCGAUGCUAUUCCUCAACAAAUGUGAGGCCUACUUCCGCCAACAUCGAACCAUGGCGGAGGAACGGGUGUGGAUCGCGUCGUACCACCUCGACGGCAUUGCACAGCUGUGGUUCACGCAGCUCCAAGACGACGACGGCACGCCGACGUGGGGGCGCUUCAAGGACCUCCUGGACCUGCGGUUCGGACCCCCCCUCCGCUCCGCCCCGAUGUUCGAGCUCGCCGAGUGCCGGCGCACCGGGACGGUGGAGGAGUACUCCAACCGUUUCCAGGCUCUCCUACCGCGCGCAGGUCGCCUCGAGGAGGCCCAACGUGUCCAACUCUACACGGGGGGACUCCUUCCGCCGAUUAGCAACGCCGUCCGCAUCCACAACCCCGGUACGUUGGCGGCGGCCAUGAGCCUCGCACGCCAGGUGGAGAUGAUGGAGGCCGAGAGGCUGCCUCCCCACCCCCCUCGGGCGCCCCCGCGCGGUACCCCUCCGGCGCCAGCACCACGACCUGCACUACCGGCGCCACCACCGAUCUUGCAGCUGCCAGCACCUCCGGUGGCCUCUCAGCCGGGUCGGGGCGAGGGAACACAGCGGCGCCUCUCUCCGGAAGAAAUGGCGGAACGCCGCCGCCAAAACCUAUGCUUCAACUGCAACGAGAGGUACAGCCGUGGUCAUAACAGGUUCUGCAAGCGCAUUUUCUUCGUCGAUGGCGUCGAGAUCGACGACAAGCCAGAAGGCGAGGCGGCGGUCACUGCCAUUUCCGGGGAGGUGGAGGCACCAACUUUCUCCCUCCAUGCGGUCGCGGGCGUGGCCAUCGGCAAGACCAUGCAGGUCCGCAUCUCGGUGGGCGCGACGUCCCUCAUCGCCCUCCUGGACACGGGAUCCACUCACAGCUUCAUCGGCGAGGAGGCCGCGCACCGGACCGGCCUGCCGAUCCAACCUCGUCCGCGCUUGACGGCCACGGUCGCCAAUGGCGAGCGCGUGUCAUGUCCAGGCGUCCUCCGCGGCGCCCCGCUGCUCAUCGGCGACUUCCACUCCACCGUCGACCUCUUUGUCAUGCCUCUUGCAGGAUACGACAUCGUCCUAGGGACGGACUGGAUGGCGACCCUAGGACAGCUGGUGUGGGACUUGGUCGCGGGCACCGUCUCGUUCCAGCACGCGGGACACGCCGUGCGCUGGUCCGCCGUGCCGGCCCCUGGCGCCCUCGGCCCCUACACCACCACGGCCAGCGACUCGCUCCUGGAGGAGCUUUUGGCGCAGUUCGACACCGUCUUCGCCGAGCCGACCGGCCUGCCUCCUCCCCGAGGACGCGAACACGCCAUCACACUCAAGCCGGGCGCGCAGCCGGUCACGGUCCAGCCGUACCGAUACCCGGCGGCCCACAAAGAUGAGCUCGAACGCCAAUGAGCCGCGAUGAUGGCGCAGGGCAUCGUCCGCCGCAGCGACUCGGCGUUCUCAUCUCCGGUCCUCCUCGUCAAGAAGGCGGACGGCGCAUGGCGUUUCUGCGUCGACUACAGGGCGUUGAACGCGCUCACGGUCAAGGAUGCGUUCCCCAUCCCCGUCGUGGACGAGCUGCUCGACGAGCUCCACGGCGCGCGUUUCUUCACCAAGCUGGACCUGCGUUCGGGGUACCACCAGGUCCGCAUGCGCCCGGAGGACGUACACAAGACGGCGUUCCGCACACAUGACGGACUCUACGAGUUCCUCGUCAUGCCGUUCGGCCUCUGCAACGCGCCAGCGACAUUCCAGUCCUUGAUGAACGACGUCCUUCGCCCAUACUUACGUCGGUUCGUCCUUGUUUUCUUUAAUGACAUCCUAAUAUACAGUCACACUUGGGCGGACCACCUGCGACACAUCCGUGUCGUCCUCUCCGAACUGGCGCGCCACCACCUCUUCGUCAAGCGCUCCAAGUGCUCCUUCGGCGCAUCCUCGGUCGGGUACCUGGGGCACGUCAUCUCGGCGUCCGGCGUCGCCAUGGACCCGGCCAAGGUCCAAGCUAUCCGCGACUGGCCGGUUCCCCGGUCGGCACGGGCGGUGCGCGGCUUCCUUGGCUUGGCCGGCUACUACAGGAAGUUCGUCCACAACUACGGCACCGUGGCUGCCCCGCUCACGGCGCUCCUGAAAAAAGAGGGGUUCGCCUGGACUGAUGCGGCAGCCGCCGCGUUCUGCGCCCUCAAGGAAGCUGUGACGACCGCCCCGAUACUCACGUUGCCGGACUUCACCAAGCCGUUUGUCGUCGAGUGCGACGCCUCCUCCUACGGGUUUGGGGCCGUGCUCAUCCAAGAGGGCCACCCCAUCGCGUUCUUCAGCCGGCCAGUGGCGCCCCGACAUCGCUCCCUCGCGGCGUACGAGCGAGAGCUCAUCGGGCUCGUCCUUGCGGUGCGCCAUUGGCGGCCAUAUUUGUGGGGCCGCGGCUUCGUCGUCAAGACGGACCACUACAGUUUGAAGUACCUCCUCGACCAACGCCUCGCCACAAUUCCGCAACACCACUGGGUGGGGAAACUCCUGGGCUUCGACUUCACCGUCGAAUACAAGUCCGGUGCGACGAACACGGUGGCUGAUGCCCUCUCACGGAGGGACACCGAGGAGGCCAAGCAGGGCGCGGUCUUGGCGGUUUCCGGACCCCGCUUCGAUUUCAUCAGUCGGCUCCGCCAUGCUCAAGCCACGGACCCGGCGCUGGUGGCUGUCCAUGAUGAGAUCACCGCCGGGACGCGCACCGCGCCGUGGGCGAUCACCGACGGCCUCGUCGCCUACGACGGUCGACUCUACAUCCCACCAUCUUCACCACUGCUGCAGGAGAUUGUGUCCGCAGUGCACGCCGACGGCCAUGAGGGCGUCCAGCGUACUUGGCACCGCCUUCGCCGCGACUUCCACUUCCCCAACAUGCGCAUCGUGGUGCAGGACUUUGUGCGGGAGUGCGCCACAUGCCAAAGGUACAAGUCGGAACAUCUACACCCGACAGGCUUGCUCAUGCCCCUGCCCGUCCCUACCAUCGUCUGGGCGGAUAUCGGCCUCGACUUCAUUGAAGCACUGCCCCGCGUCGAUGGCAAAUCGGUCAUCCUCUCCGUCGUCGACCGCUUCAGCAAGUACUGCCACUUCAUCGCCCUCGGCCACCCGUACACCGCCGAGUCUGUGGCACAAGCGUUCUUCGCCGACAUCGUGCGUCUUCAUGGGCUGCCUCAGUCCAUCGUCUCCGACCGCGAUCCGGUCUUCACCUCCACCUUUUGGCGCGAGCUCAUGCGCCUCAUGGGGACGAAGCUGCACAUGACCACUGCGUUCCACCCGCAGUCGGAUGGCCAAACCGAGGCGGCCAACAAGGUGAUCGUGAUGUAUUUGAGGUGCUUUACAGGUGACCGUCCCCGCCAGUGGCUCCGGUGGCUACCUUGGGCCGAGUACGUCUACAACACCGCGUACCAGUCCUCGCUCCGCGAGACUCCGUUUCGGGUGGUCUACGGCCGCGACCCGCCAUCCAUUCGCUCUUAUGAGCUCGGCGAGACGCGAGUCGCUGUCGUAGCCCGGGACAUGGAGGAACGUGACGCCUUCCUCGCCGACGUCCGCCAUCGUCUGGAGCAAGCCCAAGCGGUGCAAAAGAAACAUUACGACAAGCAUCACCGGCAGGUGGCGUAUGCCGUCGGUGACUGGGCACUUCUCCGCCUCCGACACCGCGCAGCCGCCUCCAUGCAGCGGGCGUCCUCGGGCAAACUCAAGGCGCGAUUCCUCGGGCCGUACCGCAUCACCGAAGUCAUCAACGCUGUCGCCGUUCGCUUGGAGCUCCCUCCCCAGGCACGCCUCCACGACGUGUUCCAUGUGGGCACACUGAAGAAGUUCGUGGGCACGCCUCCUGCAUCACCUCCACCGCUCCCCGACAUCAAGCAUGGCGCGGUUGUACCAGCUCCGGAGCGCGUCACUCAAGCUCGCCUCGCCCGCGGCGUUCGCCAAGUGCUGGUCUUUUGGAGGGGGGAACCGCCCUCGUCUGCCACAUGGGAGGACCUCGACGAUUUCCGCGCCACAUAUCCAGACUUUCAGCUCGAGGACGAGCUGGCUCUCCAGGGGGAGAGAUGUCAUGUGGGGCCAGCCGUACGUCAGGCGCCGGCGCAACUGCGACAUCCGCCGAGCUGAGGAACGCGCCGCGCGCGCACAAGAGGAAGAGGUCCAAGCGGGAUUCGAAAUUAGUGGCUAGGAAAUAUUAGUGUUAGCUAUUUUUGGUUAGUCCUAAACUCAAGGAGAGAUUGUUAGUUUCCCUUUCAUGCAAGCCGCAGCUGAGGAACGCGCCGCGCGCGCAAGAGGAAGAGGUCCAAGCGGGAUUCGAAAUCAGUGGCUAGGAAAUAUUAGUGUUAGCUAUUUUUAGUUAGUCCUAAACUUAGUUUCCCUUUCAUGCAAUCCGGAUGGCUAUUUGUAUCCCCAAACAUUCCCGUGAGUGAAUCAAGCAAGAUCAAUCAACCAAACUCUCUCUUCCUCCCUCGAACAUUCUCAAGCCCAGAAGCCGAGAGGGGCAUAACCUUCGCUCUGGAAGACACGGCACGAGACUACGAGCUACGUAGUCGAGGGCCGGCUACCCUAGAUCACCAGGCCCUUGACAACUCCCCCCGUUCCAAAUUAUAGAUUCAUUGCUUUUAUUAUUUUUUUCCACAACAGCAAAGCCAAAUUUCAUUACUAUCAAGCAGCAAAAUUACAUGAGUUUGUUUCGUAACCACAGAAAGUAAAAACCAUAACAGCGCAAAAUUACCACACUGGAAUGAACACAUUAGGUUCAUCCAGUUGGCACUCCCCCCUGAACUACGAUCACCCAAUAGUGUUAACGUCAGGCAUUUAAUGCAACCUCCCCCAAAACAAUCCCAGCUAAACACUAAAUGCCCCAGGUGGCAAAAAGUUUCAGCAGCACACACGCUGCGAGCAGGUUCCAGCAAAAACAACUUUUCAUGCGCCUUGGUUCAAGAUCUUCAGACAAUCGCCAUCUGGUUGUCUCCCCCAUCCAUCCACUCAUGAUGAUGAAAACGGAGCGUCGCCUUCUGGAAAACUUCCACGCCAUACUCCAUCUGCGUUGACAUCGCAUCCUUCUGCGAACCUGCUCAAUAUGAUAGUGUAGAGCAUAUCAGACAUAUGAGUUCAGUAGGCGUCUUGAUUCUUUUCCCUUAAAAAACAAACAUUGUUUCUUGUCUUCCAAGUUGCCCAAUACUUGUAUACCCCCUGGUAAGCACCAGUUAAUCCAUAUCCAGAACUGAGCAAAUGAAUUAGGUCUCACAGUAACCCCAAAAACUUAUUCCAAGAUACUCCAUACAUAUUUGACCACAGGGCACUCAAACAUCAGGUGCUUAAUGGAUUCUUCUUUCUGACAAAAGGCACACGCAAGGUUACCUUUCCAUUUUCUCUUUAGUAAGUUGUCCUUAGUUAGAAUAGCAUUUUGAAAGGUUAAUCACCUAAGAAUUUUCAGUUUUAGCGGCAAUUUAGCCUUCCAAAGUUGUCUGUUCUCUCCUGCACAGUUCCUGAACAAAUGUUUAUGUACUGACUUGACAGAGAAGAUUCCAGAUUUCUCCCUCAUUGCUUGUAUUAUGUACCUAGAUAUACAAUGUGUCUAGAUACGGAGUGAAAACUAUGUAUCUAGAAAUGCCAAAACAUCUUAUGAUUUGGAACAGCUACUGUCGAAAGGUAUGCUAUUGUCUUUUCUUGCUCCUAGCCCAGGUCAUCAUCCUCUACACUGUAGUAUUUUUUCUCGAAAAAUGCAGGAGAGCUGCGCUUCAUUAUAUUAAGGCCUUGUUUAGUUCCCAAAAUUUUUCAAGAUUCCCUGUCACAUUGAAUCUUGCGGCACAUGCAUAAAGCAUUAAAUAUAGAUAAAAAAGAUAACUAAUUACACAGUUUACCUGUAAUUUGCGAGACGAAUCUUUUGAGUCUAGUUAGUCUAUAAUUAAAUAAUAAUUGUCAAAUAAAACCGAAAUGCUACAGUAGCGAAACCCAAAAUUUUUCGCUACCACCGUGACUGGAAAUAGCCUGAGAUGGUCUCUGCAGAAACAGAGGAAGAAAACUCCAAAUCUCCACUGGUAGAGAAGAUGACCACGUGCAGCGUGCAGGGAUGAAGAGCCACGGGCGGAAGAGGACAGGGCAUGCAGGAAGACGACUCCUGCGGGCGCUCCAAAUCUCCACGGGCAGGGCACGCGCAGGGCACGCGGGAAGACGACACCCGCGGGCGGACGACGACCCCACGCGCAAUGCGUCCCCCCACGAGAGCGGACAGCUCCGCGACGACGAGUCGCGAAGGCGCGAAGGUGGAGACGAGACGCGAAGGCGCGAAGGUGAAGACACGGUGGUGAUGUGCCGACCCCCGUGAAAACAGAGGAAACGCGAUGGGCGGCAGACGGCGGCACACGCGAUGGGCUUGCGACGACCGGAAAAAAAAAUGGAUCUUGGGGGUGAUUAGGGAUCAGAUUAGCCCUAAUUCGACCCCUAAACCAUGCUUUGGUACCAUGUUACUAACCUUUGGAAUAACGAAGUACAAGCCCUCCAGAGAUGGAGUCAUACAUAUAUAUAGAGAGCCCCCUGGCUAUAUAUAGAUAGAGCCGGCUAUAUAUAGAGCGGCUAUAUAUAGAUAGAGCCUAUAGAUAGGCCUAUGGACUAGAUCUGCAUCAUAUACUUAACAUAAACAAGGCCUAAGAAGAAAGAUGGGUUAAGAACCCUUUACAACACACACCACACACCACACUUUUUGACUGAUUACAUUCGCGCUCGUGAACUAGUUGUCAAGGCGACCGAAACCAUACAUGCUAACCAUCAGGGAGUGGGGCAGUCAGGAAGGACAGCCCCCGAGCACCUGCCAUACACCAUAACCGGCGCUCCUCCCCUGCAGUGACCAAGGCCCUGGUGAUGCUAGGUGUUACCCCAUCAAAAACACACUGGUUUUGGUGAUUCCACAAUGUCCAGGCCCCAAGGUUAUUAGCGAAUUUAGCCCUUUCUUCAUCUCACCAUUCACAGCAGAACUUGGUCUUCUCCCGAGGCGGGCUCCCUUCUAAGGCCCAACUUCAUCAUAAGGGUCUCCACCCUUUGAUCCAAAAGCUGACUCUAUGUUGGCCUCUGGAUUUCUCCUUUCGUCACCUCUUUUGAAAGGUCCACCCUUCUACUGGUUCCUUUCUUCCGCGCACGUUGGGGAGUACCUUUGGAACCUUGUCCAACCAGUCUUUUUGGUCUGCUUUCUAAUGGCUCAUCUCAUUGGCUUGCUUCAUUGGUUGCCCUAGGAAGAUGGAGGCGACCCACUUUCCGAUUGGCUAAUAGCCAACAAACUACAAAUCAAAUCUCCUAAGGAGUAGUUAACAAGGCAACAAUUCAAACACAUCCAAGCUGAUGAUAACCAGGAGUGGACGAUGAUGCCGAUGGCUUCGUUCCUUGCAUGUAUUUCUUCCCAUGAAAGUGUCCUCGACCUAUCUAUCAAAGCUGUGUGCAAAUAGAUGAUAGUUGACACGAUAGCAACAGUUCCACCCCUGGCAGCAAGAAGGUGAGCGAGUGGCCUAGAUUUGGGGCUAGGGUUGUAUCUGCAUAUGAUCUACACAAACAAGAGAUAGAUUCACCAACACAUCAUAUUAAACAAGCAAGACAAAAGAACAGGGUGCAUGGUGCUGUAGGAGGUUGCUCAUUCGUUUCUGACUAGUGGUGCAGAGGCACACCAACAUAUGGGUUUAGGGUGAUGAUGCGCUUCGAGGUGGAGCACAGCCGCGGGGUGAGGUGAUGCUGGCGAUGGCUGCGCUGCUGCUUCAGACAUGUCGAGUGGUAACAAAGAUGGAAGUGAGCGCAACACAUGUCUGCACGAGCAAAAUGUUAGGUCCAGUUCUCCGCGCUAGGUCCAGAUCUCAGCGACACAGAAAGUUGUGGGCGUAUGUGGUCGAGCGUGGAGGUGCGUAGCGCACAUGUGGGAGCUGAACGGUGGGCUGUUCCUUUUACCAUGUAACGUAAAGCCCAAGCCAACUGAAAAAUCAGUCCAGGCUCAUGAAAAUGACUGCAGAAAUAAUCCUUGGUUUGGUCCGUCCUCCACUUGUCUUGCCUCUUCUAGAGCUAUAACAGGACUAGGAGAAAGUCUAUUUGUUUUAAUAUAAAUAUUAGGUAUAGAUUGUCCAUAUGGUUUUGUGUAGUUCUGAGAAUGGGAGCUUUAUUUUGGCACGACGCAUGAAGCCUAUUUUCAUUUUACCACUCAACAUUUUUUUUUCAUUUUGGCCAUUGUUUUAUUAGAAAUUAUUUUUCCCCACAUUGGCCAAAUAUUACAUGCUAGUGAUCUAGUGUAUGUCAGAAUACUAGUGCACCGUCUUGACCAAACUGUUUGUGUUUUCCACUGGUUCUUUUGGUGACUACUGUUGUAGUUGGGCACUGGCUAAACUGGUACGAGGAAAAACUGACAAGCAACUCUUUCCUUCUGUACCUUCCUGACCACAUGGCCGUGCAGAUAGUGUAUUAAUAAUAACUCUGAAAGGCCUUCCCUCAGCAUGAAUCUAUGCAGAAAGUGGAAAACACCACUUAGGAUUCACUUCUGUGAAAACCAUACUAGCAAUCAGUUGUCAGUUAUUGUGAUCCGCUUGGGUCACAAUCAAACAGAUUAGAUGAAGGAAACUGAAAGAAUAAGCUGCUGCUUCUACUGUAACAUGACCUGCUAUCAAUCGGCUGCCACUCGUACCUAUCUGUGUGAAAAUGAAGAACAGUGUCUGAUUUUUGUUACAGAAACAAAAAAUUCUAUUAUGUGGCUUCAUCAUGAUUUUCUUUUGAGAUGGUAAUAACUAUCCUGAUUUGCAGGACCCGACGAAUAGGAACAUUGUGAAAUGUGAUGAGAAGCUGAAGACUGUAUUAUUGGGCAAGUCCAAAGUGGAGCUCUCUGAACUCCCAAUGAUCGUUAAGCUUCAUUUCCCAAGAUUUCCAAGGUAGUGACAACAUGGUAUUGUAUAUUGAAAUUUUGUGGGAACUUGAUGGGAUAGACAAAAUCAUAUAUAUGUAUUGUUUUGCUGAAAUUUCCAUUAAUCGGCUGUAUGUAGUGGCACGAACGAUACAUUGAGUUCGUUGCUUGUCUUUUUGAAAGCGCACGUUUGCCCAGUCACCCAGCCUUAGCCUCGCCGGUCACACUCCGCCGCCCCUCUGCGAGAGUGGAUUUUUCACAUAGGUGGUGGUGGCGUGGUCCAGGGGAGUAGGAUCAGCCUUUUUAGUUUUCUGAGUCAGCAUUGUUGAUCCUUCUAUCGGUAAUCGUGACUUUCAGCUUGACUACUUUCUGUAAGGUCUCGUUUAGGCCUUGUUUAGAUCACCCCAAAACCAAUUUUUUUUUUUUUUUUAAGAUCCCCUGUCACAUCAAAUUUUUUGGCAUAUGCAUAAAGCAUUAAAUAUAGACGAACAUAAAAACUAACUGCACAGUUUAACUGUAAAUCGUGAUACGAAUCUUUUGAUCCUAGUUAGUCCAUGAUUGAACAAUAUUUGCCACAAACAAACGAAAGUGCUAUAGUAGUGAAAUCCAAAAUCUUUUCGCAUCUAAACAAGGCCUUAGUUCACAUUAAAAUCCAAAACUUUUUAAGAUUUUCUAUCACAUUAAAUUUUGCAGCAUAUAUAUAGAAUAUUAAAUAUAGAUAAAAAAAAUAAAUAAUUGCAUAGUUUGUCUGUAAUUUGUGAGAUGAAAUUUUUUAGCAUAGUUAAUUUAUGGGUAGACAAUAAUUGUCGAAUAAAAACGAAAAUACUAUAGUACCAAAAUCCAAAAGGUUUUUGAUCUAAACAAUUACUUACUCUCUCCGUCUCACAAAUAAAUUCAUUUCUUUGACCGUUACGAUUCAUAUUUGACCAUUCAUCUUAUUUAAAUUUUUUGUUCAAAUAAUAAAAUAAAUACAUCAUUAUAAAAAUAUAUCUAACAAUAAAAUAAGUUAUGAAAAAAUAAAUAAUAUUUAUUAAAUUUUUUUAAAUAAGAUGAAUAAUCAAAUAUGAAUCAUAGAAGUCAAAAAAAUACAAUUAUUUGUGGGAUGGAGGGAGUAGCUGCUUGCACAUAGUGUACACUCUUACUUAAAAUAAUGGAUCGUCAGCCUGCUGCAGCCUCUGAUGUGAUCCUUGUUCGCUUGAGUAGCCAACAGUACAUUCUCCCACGGCUUAUGAGCCAAACAAACCACAAAUCACAUGAUUGAACGCCGGCAGGGAGUCGGGACCGUGGAAUCUUCAGGCAUCUUGACGAAAGCCCUUUGGCACGCAGCCGCCAUUGCAGACCAAAGAGGAAAGAAAUCUUCCAGCCAGGGUAUGCUGGUCCAACUCAACGAUUCUGUAGCUGCGCCGUGCAUCGACUGGCGUUUCCAAACCAUCCAACGCCAAAUUUCGCAAGCAUGCAUACUCCCUGUGCUAACAAGGCUCCAAUUCUAGCACUAAUUCCGCUAUGCCUCUCUCCCUACUACCCUUUGUGUUCAUCUUCUUCCCGCUCAGCAUCCUGGAAGUGCACUCAUCUGCUUCAGCUCCUGCUCCUGGAAGGGACACCAACACCAUGUUGCCUGGCCAAACGCUUGCCGGCAGCGACAAGCUCGUCUGCAGCACCGGCAAGUACGCGCUUGGCUUCUUCCAAUCCCAAACCCGAACCAGCGGUAACUCCAGCUGCUGCUACUACCUGGGCAUAUGGAUCAACAGAGUCCCCACCAUAACUCCCGUGUGGGUCGCAAACGAGGACGAUCCGAUCGCUGAUCUCACCACGGCGGUGCUCACAAUGUCCCCGGCGGACGGCAACCUUACCGUCCUGAACCGCACCACCAAAUCCAUCAUCUGGUCCACGUCCACCCAAGCCAACACCACAACCAACGGCACGAUCGCGACGCUGACAGACGGUGGGAACCUCGUCGUGCGGAGAUCUUGGAGCCCCUCCGGCGACGUCCUGUGGCAAAGCUUCGACCACCCGACGAAUAGCCUCCUCCCCGGCGCGAAGCUCGGCAGGGACAAGGUCACCGGCCUCAACCGCCGUCUUGUCUCCAGGAAGAACUCGGCUGACCAGGCUCCUGGCGCCUACGCGUUGGAGCUGGACCCGACUGGUGCUGCUCAGUUCAUCCUCGUUGAGCAGAAUUCCGGAGUGACGUAUUGGUCAAGCGGCGAAUGGAACGGCCGAUUCUUCGACGCUAUACCAGAUAUGGGUGCCUAUUCUGAAUUCGUCGACAACAACAGAGAGGUGUAUCUUGUGACCCCCUUGCGAGAUGACAACAUGGUCAUGCGCCUUUCGCUGGAGGUUUCUGGUCAACUCAAGGCGUUCAUAUGGUACGAGCAGUUGCAGGAUUGGGUAAUUUCUGCUGUCCAGCCGAAAUCUCAGUGUGAUGUCUAUGCAGUCUGUGGAUCUUAUUCAGUUUGCAACGACAAUGUAAGCCCCUCUUGCGACUGUAUGAAGGGCUUCUCCAUCAAGUCGCUUGAGGAUUGGGAGCUACUAGAGGAUCGAAGAGGAGGGUGCAUCAGGAAUUCUCCAUUGGAUUGCAGUGACAAGAAAACAACAGAUGGAUUCUACUCCGUUCCAUGCUCCGGAAUGCCCUCGAAUGCUCAGAGCUUAACUGUUGUUACUAAUGAAGGUGAGUGUGCAAAGGUUUGCUUAAGUAAUUGCUCAUGCACUGCAUAUUCCUUCAGUGAUGACCAUGGCUGCUAUGUCUGGCACGAUGAACUGUUUAAUGUCAGGCAACAACAGUAUAGUGACCUUACUACUACGAAGGCGGAAUUUCUGAAAGUUCGACUUGCUGCAAAAGAGCUGAGGAUUUGGGAAAACCACAGAAGGAAAAUGCUGGCUUGGGUUGUUACCAGUGCAACUAUGCUGGCUUUGUUUGGACUUGUCCUGCUGCUGAUGAUUUGGAGGAAACGAACGAUGCGAUAUUGUCGCGUGUCGAACAGUGUACAGGGUGGCAACGGAAUUGUUGUAUUUAGAUACACUGACUUGCAGCAGGCAACAAAAGGUUUCUCAUCCAUACUAGGGAGCGGUGGUUUCGGCUCUGUUUACAAGGGGGUUUUACCUGACGGAUCCAUCAUAGCAGUGAAAAUGCUUGACGGCCUUCGUCAAGGGGAGAAACAAUUCAGAGCUGAAGUGAGCUCAGUCGGUAUGAUCCAACAUGUUAAUUUAGUUAAACUGGUUGGUUUCUGUUGUGAGGGAAAUAAGAGAUUGCUAGUCUACGAGUACUUGCCUUACGGUUCUCUUGAUGUUCAUCUAUAUCAGAACAGUGCCACAUUUCUGAACUGGAGAAACAGGUAUCAAAUUGCCCUUGGAGUUGCAAGAGGACUGGCAUACUUGCAUGAGAGCUGUCAGGAAUAUAUCAUACAUUGUGAUAUUAAGCCAGAAAACAUACUUCUUGAUGCAUCAUUCGCGCCUAAAAUUGCAGACUUUGGGAUGGCAAAAUUGGUACAAAGAAAUUUUAGCGGAGUCUUGACGACGAUGAGAGGAACUGUAGGUUAUCUUGCACCUGAAUGGCUUAGCGGAGUCGCUAUUACAACAAAAGUUGAUGUUUAUAGCUACGGGAUGGUGCUAUUGGAAAUUAUAUCAGGAAGGAGAAACACAUACAAACAGUGCACUAGUUGUGGUCACAAUGAUGCUUAUUUUCCUCUGCAAGUUGCCAAUAAUCUUCUCAAGGGUGAUGUGCAGAGUUUGGUGGAUCCUAAGUUGUCAGGGAAUGCCAAUAUGGAAGAGGUUGAACGAGCUUGCAGAGCUGCUUGUUGGUGCAUCCAAGACAAGGAGUCCGAUCGACCGGCAAUGGGUGAGAUUGUUCAGAUUCUAGAGGGUCUACGUGAGGUCGAUGUGCCUCCACUCCCAAAGAUACUCCAAGCUGUUGCAGGAAGCCCUCUAUCAACUAGUUUGUAAAUUGCAUUCUUUUGGCCGAAAUAUGUAAGUUUCUUAGAGCUCUUACUUCUUAUUAAGAGGUAAUACCGAUCACAUUAACAUAUAAUAUCUCUAGAUAAGAGGAAUAUUUUUCUUAUGAAGACAAAACAUUGUUUCCUACACCUAGAAUAUCAUCUUUGCUCCAUAAAAAAUGUUCAAUCAUUAUGAGAUAUAUGCCCAUUAACAAAAUUUCAUCUAAAUAUAUCCAUGUGAGAUCUUGUUUUGAAGGAUUUAAAGUAAGAAACAUGAUGAAUAUAAUCAGAAUUCAAUUUAGAUAUUUAGUUCAGUAGUUAACACUUUUUUUAGUUUACAGAAAAGUAUGAUGGUUUCGUAUCAUGGGAACAGGUCUAUUUGUUUGCCUAAACUAGGGUGGCCAGAGCGUACCAGCCGGGCGUGGCCAACACUAGAUAGGCCCAAACGGUGCAAUUGCAUGUACAAACAUGUAUGACUACCCUGCAUCACAAACAUGAUAGCCUUACCACCCUCACCUCCCUUUUCCUCACCUCAUUGCCAUUUCAUCGAGCACCUCAGUGGUGUGAAAUGCCAAUGAUGCCUUCUUUCUCUAUGGUGGUGGUGCUACUGGCUACUGUUGUUGCCGUGAUUGAACAUCGACGCAAAGAGAGGCGAGGUGCUUGAACAUCAACGUGAAGAGAGGAAAACCAAAGGCGUCCAAGAUGACAUGGUGGUGGUGGGCGGCCGCGCAAAGAGGGUGUGAAGGGAGGCAGGGAUGGAGAAGCACCAUGGUGGUGGUGUUGCUGGCUGCUCUUGUUGCCAUGACGCCGUGCGAGUAAAGGUCGCCACGCUAGGGCUUGGCCACUCUGCAGGGAAGGGGCCCUGCCCUGGGGCAGGACUGUUGCUCUAGGUCGCCGUGCUAGUGCAGAGCGGCCGUGCCGGGGCAGGGUAGCCGUUACAGGGCCAGCUUGCCAGUAGGGGCAAGGCAGGAGUUAGGCGGGCUGCCGCGAGGCAUGGCUCUCGCACUGUCAUGACCUAGUCCUAACACUCUUGUGAGCAUCAACAUCAUGUCAUGAGCAUUCUUGCUUUUGAAAUCAAAUAGUUAGAAACUAAACUCUGCACUCAAACUGCCCACUGUUGGAUUGACGGAUGAUUCGCUAACUCCAUAGACUAUCCACCAGUCCAUCUGCACGCGCUAACAAGUUUAGACUCUGUCAGUUAGUAACCUGACACCACCGAAGAGUCCACCGUCAUGAUGGUCUGUCUGAUAGGAUCGUCCCAUGCAGAAAUGAGAGGUGUCACUUUGGGAAUCACUUGGUCCCACACAUCACUACAGUUGUCCAUUUUGUGGAGGCACCAAGGUAGAGAGCUCACCAACUUACUCACUCACUCUCACACUCCCACUCUCUCUCUAGUCCAUCUCUCUCUCUACUCUCACACUCAAAGCAAGGAAGAGGUGAAGGGAAGGAGGAGAAAGGACAAGGGAUAGGAGCUUGGAGGCAACAUGAGAUGGCCAUGGAGAUCACCUAGAGGCUGUCGUCCACAGGAGGUAGGGGUUAGAAGGGGGAGGAGCCCUCUUAUCCUUGCCAUAUAGAGAUAGGAGGAGGAGGCAAGAAGAAGAAGGUUUUGAAUCACCAAGGAGGAGAUCAUCCGACUACUCCAUCACCUAGGAGAUCUUGGUACCUUGUUGUUGCAGCCCUUGGUAAGAAUCUAACCAAGCCAAACCUAGGAUCACAUCUUUAAGAGCCAAAACCUAGGAAAUAUCAAUUUGUGGCCUAGAGUUAGUUUGCACCCGAUGUAGCUAGAACUAGCCAGCUAGAUAUACUCCAUAGCCAGCUAGAUAUACUCCAUAGAACCCUAGUAGUAUACCCUAAAAAUAGUUUACACAUGCAAGCACCCUAGGUGAAGAUUUGGAUUUCAAGUUGUGAAGUGUUCAUUGUCACUAUUGACAGAGAGUCCCACAUCACUAGCAGAGUGUUCGUCAGUACUGAAUGUCUCGCUGUUCAGAUCACCUGCAUAGACAAUGUCUGUAACCCACAAGCGAUCGUCACUACACUGGAGCAUCCAAUGAGUUAUACACCCUGGACAGAGGAGUGUCUAGAGAACUUUGAUCAUAGUUUUUGGGUAUAGAAGAGUGUUUGUCGAUAUCCAUGGAAGUGAGUAUGAACAUAAAAUUAUACUGACCACUUGUUGCCAAUGGGGGUGACAAGCCAAGUAACUGAUUGCGACUGUUUUGCCUAUGAAACUGGCAAGAGGGAUGGCUUCAGUCGGGAGUGACUGGAACAUUGACCGGGCAUCUAGUCGAACCUUUCGUUGGACAUCAUGGAUGGGUUGGGGAAAGGUUGAAGCAUCGAGGUAUCCCAUCUAUACCGACGGGUCUUAUGGGCGACGAUAUCCCUUGUUAUAAGUGGGGUCAACUUGUACCCCUCAACAAAGUAUAAAACUAAAAACAAUAAGUUCUACUUCUAGAUGUGGACUAGAGUUGGGAUUGGAGAUCAAGGCUCGUGGAAGAACGAUUUCCCUUUUGCUAGUGCUUAACUUGAUUAUCUAUGCUAUGCUUAAUAAUGCUAUGUCAUUUAUCACCUUUACUUUCCGGUAUAAAUGCUUUUAUGCAAAGUUACAUAUUUUUUGCUACUACCCAAAUGCAUAAUCCUUGUUUACUAUAUUGGGUAUGUAACACCUAGAAUACAUUUCGCAUAUUAGAAAGCGUAAUGUGAUAAAAAGUUAAACUUGAGGUUUAAUGAGUGGCAAAAAAUAUUUUUUUAGCCAUCACUCGGAUGGAUGAUCAGACACCAUAGAUGCAUAGAUCUCGUUGAAUUCUUUUCGUUUGACUACUCAUAUGCAUCGUUUGGAGUUUGGAUGAUCAAGAUAUAAUUUUACAAGGUUUAAUGAAAUAAAAAGUACUGCUACAGUAUCAUGAAUAAUAACCCAAGGUUGCCUAGUCGAGUCCUUUUGUUUUCCUCAUCCUCUAACACCCUGGUCAGAGCCACCCCUAGCCUGCAGUGCCACAUCCAACAAAAAAAAGAAAAGAGGAGUAGGAGAGGGCCUAGGGUUUUCUCGUUGUCACCGCCGCUGCUGUCGGCACUGUCCAUGGUGCUCGUUCUUCCUUCCGCAAAAGUGGUUAGGCUUUAUCCCAUCCCUUUGAUUUGCCGGCCAUGUUCGACAUAGAUUGGAACAGCGAGACGAUUGUAGUGGCGACUGGCGAGGAUCGCUAUGAGUUGGAGGCAACGAGAAGGGGAAGAGGAGGGGAGGAUGGAGUAGUCACCCAGAGUUUUGGUGUUGUGGUCACUGUGGUACCCUAGGUGAGGUUUGAUCCUUUAUCAUAGCACUUCGUUUGAGGUGGAUUUGGUUUAAUAAACUGUGGUAGGAAAGGAUUAGGGGUGAGGUUCCAAGGUUAGGCCUCGAAUCCAUGUUUUCCUGCAGUUCCCAGAUUUGACAGUUUCAGUUGUUUGACGGUUUUAGAUAUCUUGGAGGCCGAAUUAAUUUUUGAAAUGAACUCAGAACACGUAGAGAACUCAGAGAUCUUUCCAUGAAGUCAAAAUGCAAGAUUUUAGGCCAAACAAUUUAGGAGAUGUGAAAUUCUGAAUUCUGUUUCCUAAGUCUGUCGAAAAUUCAGAGUAGUUAAGAUCUAGCUCGUUUUACACCCUCUUCAAAGCAGAAUUAGAGAUUGUGAUAUAAAUAAAGGUUGUAGAUAAUUUUACAAGCUUUCCAUAUUGUUAAAGAACAUAAUUUCUGGUUGGGUAUAACUCCAGAUAUGAAAUUUUGAUGUUGGCUGUCCUGUUUUUCUGUCAGAUUACAGUUACAGUUUCAGCCUUCAGUUUUUGAUGUUGACUUAGGAGUUUGUCCAGGCCGAAUUGUGAAGGAGAAUAUAAUUGGUGGAAUAUUUGAUAUAUUACAUUGGGCCUUAUGGGCUGAUUAUAUAGGGUACAUAAGACUAACACUUUAUGUGGAUACACAAUGUGGUACUAUUACUAUUUACUCUAACAAAUUGAUCUAGUGUGCUAUGGAGAUUUUCAUAGAAAUCUAUAUGAUCUUUCUAUCAAGUAUUUGAACUCUAAUUUUAGCUGGAUUGUUUGAGAGAUAUGAAUUUUAAAAAUGUCUUGCUUUGUUGUUUUGGCGGGUUGGAGCAUAGAAGCAUGUUAUUCUUUCCUCUACAUAUUUGAUUGUGUGUAUAUACUGAGUUAUAUGUUGAAAAACUGGUUGUGGCACUUUGGAUCAUCACUUGUGCUUUUGAUCUUGUUUGGCAAAUAGGCAAGUGAAUGUAGCGGUGGUUUGCUACCGUUUUGGCAUGUCAUUUUCAUCACCUACAACUUAAUAUCUAUGACAUGUCAUGCCACUAAUAUCUAAAACUUAAGACCUUGGUUUAUUCAACCUUAUUUAAUUAUGGUCAUAUUUAUUUAUGCAUGGUGAUGUUAUUAUUCCAUAUUGCUACAUGUGGCUAGCCCACAACCCUGAAGUUGAAGUUGAAGUGUCAUUGAUGGUGUACAUUAAUCUUAUCGUAGCAUGUCAAGUGCAAUGCAUCAUUCAUUUGCAUUGGAAGUUAUGUCGUUGACCUAUGGUCACGACCCUACAGGUACAACGUUAUGAGAUACAGAUCCACACCUAGUAGGGUGUGCAGGCAGGAGACAUUUUGCAUUGCAUUCAUUUGCAUUCAUGAAGUAAAUUGAAGUGAUAUGUCCAUGCUAGUAUGAAGCUUUAUCAUCUGGCUAUGUUCAAAAUUGGAAGUCACUCAUUUUAUAUUGAUAUUAUAUCAUGUUUAUUCUACAAGUGGAACUCCAUGUUAAAUUGUUGUUAUUUAAUUCAACUUAUGAUUUAAAUGGCUUGUCAAAACAAGUUUGCAGAUGUUUGAUCGCACCCCUGCAUUAAUCAAUCUAGGUACUUGAUGCUUGCAUGGAAGGGAAGAGGACUAGCAGCACAUCUUCACUAAUUCACCCACACAUAUAGUUACUAAUGAUGUGUUUGAUUUGAUGUAAUAAAAUAAGUUUAUUUGUUAAUGGGUUUAUGUUGCCGAGUUUUAGAAUUUGGCAUGAGGAAAGAGACGUUAGUGACAUCGUAGGGUUUUGUGGUGACCAGAGUGUUAUAGGGUAAGUCCUGCGGAGUACAAUCGAGUACUCACCAUGUGUGAUCUUUUCUAUGCUCCUGAACCCUCUUCGGAUCAGGAGUGGUGAAGGAUCUCAUGUUUCAUAGAUGCAUGGAUGUGGAACACCCAUGUAUUCGUUAUCAUGAAUAAAAACUACGUUAUGUUGAAAGACUUCCACUAGACUUCGAUGACUGUAAUGUGUGACCAUGUGAUGAACUAAGUGUGUGAACUAAGACUUGUAAACUUUAAUGCUUUGAACUUGUAAUGUGAUCUAAGCACUAAUUCACAGUAUAAGUUUGUAAUUUUAAAAUAUAUAUGUCUUGUAUAUACAUGGACAAACAUAGCAUUCUGAUUAUUGAAUUUCAUAGUUGUAGAAGUUUGUAAUUUAUACAUAUAUAUCUCUCCUACUUUAUGAAUACUGAUUUUUUCAUAAUAGCUUAUAUUAGUAUUUACAUAUAGAUUUGAGAGAGGUGGGUAAUUUAGAUGCAACUUGAGGGGGUUAUAUGAAUUAUGCUUCAUAAUGACAAAAUGGGUAAUUUAGAUAUAUUUUAGGGGGUUAUUUUGAAUUAUUUUUUAGAAUGACAAGUGUGGGUAAUUUAUAUACAAAUUCAGGGGGUUAUUUCAAAUGAUCUUUUAUAAUGGCAGAUGUGGAUAAUUUAUAUAAAAUUAGGGGUUACUUUAAGUAUUUUUCAUAAUGUCAGAGGUGUAGUCUACCAAAUUAAAGGCUGGAUGUUUCUGAUUAUUGUAAGAAUUUCUAGAUUUAUCUUUUUUCCUAGCACGUUUGGUGAAAGUUGACCAUUAGGGCCUCCAAUUAGUGAUAGUAAGUUUUUCAUAAUGGCAGAGGUGUACAAUAGAUCCAAUAGCUAUUAUCGGAGAGAUGAUUAGAGUCUACUAAAUUAAUGGCCGGAUGUUUCUGAUUAUUCUAGGAUUUAUGUUUUUUCCUAACACGUCUGGUGAGAGUUAACGUGAUGUCUUCGUUGGGACCUCUAAUUAGUAAUAGUAAGAUAAGAUGCUUCCAUCUAAACUUCUUUUUCUUGACAAAAACCAAAAGUGCAGAACCCUGCAAAACACCUGAUAAAAAUGUGUUGCAUAUCACGAUUUUAGGCCCUUCUCUGCAAGAAAUACAACUUCGCUUCGAUUCAUGAGUUCAUCGCUUCCCUAUAGCUUUACGAAGAGCCUCGCUGAUCAUCCAAGGCACGACGGCACUGGAGCCUGCAUACUGCAAAGAAAUUGAACAGAAACAACUGCAUCUGCAUCAGCAAACCAAACUGUCCAACCAGCAAGAAGUCAAGGGAGCUACAUGACUGCUAAUUAACAAGAUUGCAAUUGGCAUGUCUUUAGCCAUUGAUACCUUAGCUCGUAUCUUAAGCCCCAUAAAGCCAUCUGGUGCCGAAGCCUGAACCGAGAGAACGUCCAAAUGCAGGCCCUUGAUGGAGUCAAACACUCGUGUCAUCAGGAGCUCCUCCCACCGGCAUUGCACCUCCAGGAGCACGUCCCUGUCCGAGACGGCGACGGUGACGUUGCUGGUGCCGUCCUUGGGCAGGACCCAGGGGUGCUCCUUCUCCACGUCACCGCUGAAGUCUGGGCUCUUCCUCUUGGAGCCCGCAGAGAGUUUCUUCCUGACACUCUCACUACCAAUGCCACAGGGCUUUGUAGGCCUUGCUGUUGUUUCUGAUGGGCGCGAUAGAAGUUCCCUACUGGAUUUUAGCUCUUGUACCUUUCGCUGAAGCUCCUUGAGGUAGGCUAUCGUUUCGGCGAGGAUCGACACUUUGUCCACCUGCCAAAUUUUAUAAAAAAACAAAAUGUCUCCGAGUUUUGAUACAAACGAACUAAUGUUCUCAAAUCAACAAGGAAGGAUAAAAAAAGUUGAUGCCAUAUAUGUGUUCAUUACCUUCUGAAUGGACGGAACCAACAACUUGAGAAUGAGGAACAUCUCGUUGAGCUUCUCCCGGCGCUUUCGCUCUGACAUGACGUGAUUCUUGAUGCCACUUUCCUGGGCUGUUCGUACCGUGCCCCCGACACCACAGUUCGCCCAAGCUCUGCCGCCGCUCACCACUUUCUUCAGCAAUUUCUGCGGCUCUUCGACGGCCGGUACUGCCGCCGCUUCAUCGGAGUAGGACCGCGAGGGCCUCGUCGUCCAAGGCAUGAAACAGGUCGCGCGAGAGCCGUCAACUGGUGCGCUUGAGGUGUCGGCAACGUUGUUAGUAGUAGCCCUAGCCCCCAGGGGCGGUGAGGGGACUUCGAAAUUAUUAGACCCGUCCAGCAUGAUCCAGCUAUCCUCUAGUGGUAGUGGCUGCACGUCCAUUUCCUCGAAGAGGCUGUAGAACUCGUCCAUCUCCUUCGUCAUGUGCUCCAGGCUUGCAUUUGACAGGCCCUCAGCUUCUCCUAGCUCCUGUCCAUGUCCCCCUGUGGCAGUCAUCGUCUCCACCAUGGCAUUGUGACCGAGGUCCUCGAACACAACAAUGUCUGCGGUCUCGCCGGCUUCGUUUGCUGACGGGUUGGAGCUCGGCUCUUCAGAGUAUGUCGGACAUUGCGACUCCCAGAAAGCUGCGGUUGCUCGGCUGACCAAGCCUGGGUCCUCCGGCACCUGACAAUAUAUAUCAUUUAGUUUGGUGAUACACUAAUAUAUCAUUGUAAAAUUUCUCAUUUUCAGAUAAUGUAGUAUAUAUCUAUACUGCCACUUGCCAGUGAACAACUGAACAUACCCUAUUAGUUGUACCCAGCUCAAGCACACCACCCAUAACCGGGAUGCAGACGAUUAACUGCAGAAAACACGAUCCAAGAUGCAGUUAGUUGUAGCAGUGAGAAAUCUGCAGACUACACAGUAUGAAAGUGCCCAGUGCCCCAGUGUAAUGUUUCCGACCAGAUCAGAAAGCUUGGAAAGCGCUUACCUGAAUGGACGCGCUCUGCUUGACCAUACGUAGUCAGUUAGGCACACAUCAUGCAGGUACCGCACACGUAGUUCAUGAUGAUUCAACAAAGAUCGCAAUCGACUAGUGAAAAACAUGCAUGAAAGGCAAUAAUAACAGAAGAAUGCAGAUCGAGUGGUCUUUCCCGUCAGAACAACUGAGAGAACGUGCAUACCUUGGCCAGGAGCGCGCGGGGGAAGGCUUUGCUGUCGGCGAGGUGCGCGUUGCGCAGCCAGACAUGCUCGUUGCUCGCAAAACUCCUGCCCGGCAACCUGUGGCAGCACAAAAAAAAAAAAUCAUUGGUACUAUCAGGGGCGCAUCAGCUAUAUAUGUUUGCUGUAUGGAUCAAGCAGUAAUCGCUAC
rnacentral:lncRNA from 1 species